GUUAUACACACUCAUCGACCGACUGUAAUCCUAACUUCCAAUAAGGAAGCUUACAUUCCUCUCUGGCUGUUGUUGCUGCGCGACUCAAUUAUUACGAGGUGGGUUCUCUACUUGAACCCUCAACCUGGUUGUUUGUGACCUUAACAUAUGACUUCCAGAUGGUUGAGGUGCUCUAUGUCCAUGAUGAGCCUCUUGUGGGGCCUCACGUUCACCCUGGUGCUCAGGUCAAGACCUAUGGCUUCUGUCUCAGUACCCACUGUAGUGCACCAAAUUUUUUUUUAUAUUAUUUAAAUUUUGUGAUUUAUUUUAUUUAAAUGUUAAGUGUGAUGAAUUGUUUUAUUUAAGUGUUGUUAUUUUAUUUAGUUGAUUAUUUGUUUUAUUUGAUUUUUUAUUAUUUUAUUUAAUUGUUAGAAUUGUUUGGUAUAAUCUUUUGAAUUUAAAAUUUGUUAAUUGUUUGUUUGGUUAAUUAAUUUAAUAAGUGAAUAGUGUGUAACAUGUUUAUUUUACUAUUAGUGUUACAUUUUAGAUAAGUGUGACAAUUGAGGUAAUUAUGUGAGUUAUGGUUGAAUGCACUAAGGUGCAUGGUAGAUAGUGAUGCACUCUAGUGUUUUAGUGUGUGCUAGUACUUGGUAAUAAGGUGCACAUGUGUGGAUUUUCUACACAUUUUAUAAUUGCCUUUUAUUUGAUAUUUUGUGUAGUUUUAUUUAAUUGAUAGGAAAAUAAAUAAAAUGGAAGGAAAAGGGCAUGUAGGUGGCGUGAAGGAUAUUAGGGGAUUUUUUUGAUUUUUUUUUUAUUUUUCUUUUGAGAGAAUAAGAUUUAAUUGGAUGAGGAUAGACAUUUUGGGAAACUAUCAUUUGACUCCUAUCCUUUAUAAUAAAAGAAAAAAAUAAAAAGGAAUUAUGAGAAAAUAAAAUAGAAAAAGGAAACUUACCAUUUUGUGUUGGUGAGGCUUUAUUGAGAGGGUUGAAUAAAGGGGAAAGGAAAGGAAGAGAGGGGCAUUCUUCCUUGUGCUGCCGUGACCUAGAGAGAGAGAGAGAGAGAGAGUGGCGUGUAGAGAGAGAGGGAGAAGAAGAAAGAAAAGAAGAAAGAAGAAGAAGGUGAAGAGGAACCCAUCUUAGAGCUUGAACAAGGGUGUGAAGUUUGGGUGUUGAUCUUAUUGUGUUCUUGAUUUUACAAUCAAGAGAGGUAGCAAAUAGGAUUUCUUUAUGGCACGCGUGGUGACGUGAGGAGUUCUUUCAUCAUGGGGUGUAUGGCGUGGGGUAAUCCUAUGGACGGAAAAACGAUCAACGUAGAAUGCCAUUUAAAUUAUGUUUUGUUUUGUUUUUAAGAGACUUUCCUAAAUUAUCAGUGGGACUCAUUUAUUUAAAUUUUUGGUUUCUUUGAACUUUGCAUAAAAAUCUAUGUUUUAUUUUAAAACUUAUGGCGCCAACUUGCAUGGUUUUAAACAAGUACCCCUGAGACUUUGAUAAUGAAUGGUAUUCUUUUAUA